GAUUAAGCCAUGCAUGUCUAAGUAUAAGCAAUCUAUACGGUGAAACUGCGAAUGGCUCAUUAAAUCAGUUAUCGUUUAUUUGAUAGUACCUUACUACAUGGAUAACCGUGGUAAUUCUAGAGCUAAUACAUGCUAAAAACCCCGACUUCGGAAGGGGUGUAUUUAUUAGAUAAAAAACCAGCGCCCUUCGGGGCUCCUUGGUGAUUCAUGAUAACUCAACGAAUCGCAUGGCCUUGCGCCGGCGAUGGUUCAUUCAAAUUUCUGCCCUAUCAACUUUCGAUGGUAGGAUAGUGGCCUACCAUGGUAUCAACGGGUAACGGGGAAUUAGGGUUCUAUUCCGGAGAGGGAGCCUGAGAAACGGCUACCACAUCCAAGGAAGGCAGCAGGCGCGCAAAUUACCCAAUCCCGACACGGGGAGGUAGUGACAAUAAAUACUGAUACAGGGCUCUUUCGGGUCUUGUAAUUGGAAUGAGUACAAUUUAAAUCCCUUAACGAGGAACAAUUGGAGGGCAAGUCUGGUGCCAGCAGCCGCGGUAAUUCCAGCUCCAAUAGCGUAUAUUAAAGUUGUUGCAGUUAAAAAGCUCGUAGUUGAACCUUGGGCCUGGCUGGCCGGUCCGCCUCACCGCGUGUACUGGUCCGGCCGGGCCUUUCCUUCUGGGGAGCCGCAUGCCCUUCACUGGGCGUGCCGGGGAACCAGGACUUUUACUUUGAAAAAAUUAGAAUGUUCAAAGCAGGCCUUUGCUCGAAUACAUUAGCA
rnacentral:rRNA from 1 species